rnacentral:misc_RNA from 2 species
AACGCACAUUGCGCCCCUUGGUAUUCCAUGGGGCAUGCCUGUUCGAGCGUCAUUUGUACCCUCAAGCUCUGCUUGGUGUUGGGUGUUUGUCCUCUCCCUAGUGUUUGGACUCGCCUUAAAAUAAUUGGCAGCCAGUGUUUUGGUAUUGAAGCGCAGCACAAGUCGCGAUUCGUAACAAACACUUGCGUCCACAAGCCUUUUUAACUUUUGACCUCGGAUCAGGUAGGGAUACCCGCUGAACUUAA